ensembl:lncRNA
AUCUCUUCCUGGAGAUUGUUCUUUGUGGAGUUUUUGCAAGCCUACAACACCGAUGUCAUCUAGAAGAUGUUCUCCAGCAUCCAAGGAUGUGGUUCGUUUCUAACAUGGAGCAGGUGAGGGAACUUGGAUCAUUUCUUCUGGGACUUUGUGUUGCACCGAAGUAGAAGACAUUCCUCUUAAUCAAACCAGUUUAACUUCACUGAAAUGCUGGAUCAACCCGCAGAAUGCACUGCAAACUGUCUGGAUGCGAUUGCAUUUAUUGUAAAAUUCAAAUCAUGUCAAACAUCAAGAAGAGGUUGAAGAAAGAAGCAUGCUUUCACAGCAGCGAGCAUUUUGUUUUUGACUGCAGGGUUCCUCUAAGAACUGACUCCACAUGUAACUGAUGCCUUCAGGAAUCUGUCCCCCGCAACUCUGAACUGUGAUAGGGUGAAGAGUCUCAGGUAAUGGAUCAGCCUUGCCAUCAGCCCCAGAGGCACAGAGGACCUUCUGAAUGUGGUGAGAUGGGGUCACUACACACCUGGAAGAAAAGACAGACUGAACUUCUCACCCCAUUCUAUGCAACUUGGUCAUACCGAGGCUAUGCCAGGCUGAGGAGUUGCACUGCAGUGUUCUGAUGCUGCUGGAGUUUCUGUGACAAGAUCAGGACACUGUUCACUGCACUGGGAGGGAGCCUCUUAGCCAAAGGCAGAUUCUAUGGUGUUGGAGUUAAAUAGCAGAGAAGAAUCAGAGCCUGCUCCUAAACAACAGUAAGAUCUCAGCAAAAUUCAUGUGUGACUCCUCUGAAAUGAGAGUUCACUGUUCGCUUGUACUGACAGCUCUUGAAAAUGCCACCAGGGAUAUUUUUCCCCAUACAUCUUCACAGUUUUGUCUUUCCUGUGCCCAUCUUCUCCUAGAUAGGCUCAUUUCAACAGAUGUCUGAACCAUUCUGCUGAUACGUUGAUCCUGCACUGGUAAAGCCAACCAUUCACUUAACUUUUACAUUAAAUAAUGAACUUGAGUAAUC